rnacentral:lncRNA from 1 species
GGUUUGGUUGUGAGUUUGUUAGCAUGCACUGAAAUGAACUGUGUCAGGGCCCACAUUAGCCCUUAUCUCUGGAGACAAAACCCAAGGUCUGCAGCACACUACCCUAUGUCUUUCUGUUAUUGCUUGUGAAUAGUUUGCACCAACACAAACCUGAUGGACUUGCUGUCUUCUAACUUAUGCUGGUGCUCUUCUGACUUAUGCUGGUGGUUCCCUUGGGAAAACAAUCCGGAAUAAGGAGAAAAAUCUUGAGCCUGGGACAACAGAGAGGCAUCCUAAAUACAGGGGAGAUGGCAGCAAUGGGAGCUGUGCAUCCAGGAGCAGGCAGCUAACCUGGCCAUCUCUCCUGGGCUAAUCUGAAUUAAUUGGUGCUAUUGGUGCCUUUGAUACCCAAAUGCAGACCCCGGGGGUGGGAGUUCUCAUGAAACAAGUGGCCACUUGGGAGAGCUGUCCCAGGCCCAAUCAUGUCAUGGGCUCAUUUGUCUCCCACAGUAAUUCACUACUCACUUCAGUCACUUUAAAUGUAAAACAGCUGCUGCUGCUUAGCCCUCUUUUAAGGUACCCACUAGCAGCUUUAAACCAAUCCUGAAUGGGGCCCAUCCCAUAAUAGUCUCCCACACAGUGGUCAUUUGGAAACAAUUAACCCUUGAUUCAAGAUCCUCUUAAAGAAUCCUUUUCCAAGCCCUCCUCUUUUCCAUUGCAGCCUGUUGUGUUGUUGCCUCUUCCCUUGGAUGAGAACAGCUUUAUCCUCCAGGAGCAACAUCCAUGUCCUCUGGAAAAUGCAAGCCCUGAACAAAACCCAGCCCUGUCAAGCAAACUGCUUCCUAACUGCAAGCAUGGUGACCAUUCCUGCAAACAAAGGGAGAAGAAAAUAUGGCAAACUGAGCUCAGGAGUCCCACAAGAGUGUUACUCUGAGAACAUUAGUGGUGCUGACCAGCUCAUAAAGCUUGCCGUCGUGUUGAGUGCUCCUAGCCUCCGAGAGUCAACUUCAUUUUCCGUCCUGGCAAUAUACUGCUCCCGAAAACCUUAG